AUUUUAGAAUUUCAGAAAUGUGUCCUUAAAAAGCUGGUGGAGAUCAUGCAGGAAGUCAAGAGAAUUGGAAGUGCAGAACCUAGUAAUUCAACAUACCACAUUAGACGAAUGGAGAGGAUAGAGGAGCUGAAUGCAUUGGAGGAGAAGCUUCAAAAUAAUGAAGAGAGACAUGUUCUGACUGAUGACCAACAAUCUAAUGUCACAGCUUAACAUGAAGGGCCAUGGCUCAAAAAAAGCAUUUCAGUCAACAGCGCUGUACACCUCUGUGAUAGAUGCAGUCAAAAAGUGGGACAGCAAGGCCACCGAUCACGUCAUUUUACAGUGCCGUGGGAAACCACCUUAAACAUGCCCCUGGACGAUCUGGCGGUGGCGGACACACUGUGGCUGCAAACCAAUAACCACUUAAAUAGAUAUAUAUUUUUUUUGUUGUUGUUGUUAUGGCCUAUAUCUUACCUAUUAAUAAAUGUGUUUUGUUGUUACUUUUUUGUCAGUUGUCCUAUUUUGAGAGUAAUUAUUAAUAGGCUAAUAAUAGGCCUAUAAUGAUAUUUUUACAUAGCCUAAUAAUUAAUUUAUUCUUGAAAUUAGGUUAAAUGUAAGGCUUUAGAAUUAAAAUGGACAUUUUAACGACCUAAAAAAAGGACGUCUUUUCACCUUUCAACUAAAUUUAGACCUAAAACGGACGUCUUUUUAUAGACGUCUUUUCACCUUUCACUUUUCAACUAAAUUUUAACGUUGUUUAGACGUCUGCCAAUGACGUCUUUUCGACAAGUUUU
ensembl:lncRNA